AUGGCUGGGAAUUAUGGAAGAGGCUACGGUGUAGCCAGAUUCAAUAGAGGGGGCUGGACUGGAGAUACUGGGGGGAGAUCCAACAACAUUAGUAGAGGGGGAGGAUUUAGCAGAGGUAGAUCGGUUUCCUUUGAAAAAUCUGGAGGAUAUGGAAGAGGUGGUGACAGAUUUGGAAAUAAUGUUGGAUUUGGCAGAGGAUUUGAUGUAGAGGAGGAACUUUCAGUAGAGGAGGAACUUUUAGUAGAGGAUAAAGGAGAAUCUAUGAGUUGGCAAGCCAAAACAGGGAAAAAAGAGAUAGUAGAAGAUAACAAAAGAAGAGCUAAUGAGGAGGUUGGAAAAUCUGGUGAAGAGCAAGAGGGGGAGAGAGAGCAGCUGGCCAACGUGGAUCAAGGUCAACAACAGAAGUUGCUUGCUUCGUUGCUCUCUCAACUGGUGCAAGGGAUAAAAGGCAAUGAAAAUGGGCAGCUGGAAAAGAUGAUUGGAAGCUCCUUUGGCAAUCAGGCUGGAGGGGACAUUCAGAGAAAGGAAGAGAGGAGUGGUGAAACUAUGCAGAAAACAGAUAAAGGAAAUGGGCUGAACCCUAAUAUGGAGACCAAGAAGCAGAGUGGGAGAGGCAAUUGGCAGCAGACCUUGGAAGACAACAAAAAAAGGGAAUGA
rnacentral:rRNA from 1 species